rnacentral:rRNA from 1 species
UACAGAGGUCCCAAGCGUCGUUCGGAUUCACUGGGCGUAAAGGGUGCGUAGGUGGUUGGGUAAGUUUGAUGUGAAAUCUCCGGGCUUAACCCGGAAACUGCAUUGAAUACUAUCUGGCUAGAGGGUUGGAGGGGGGACUGGAAUACUUGGUGUAGCAGUGAAAUGCGUAGAUAUCAAGUGGAACACCAGUGGCGAAGGCGAGUCCCUGGACAACUCCUGACACUGAGGCACGAAAGCUAGGGGAGCAAACAGG